rnacentral:rRNA from 1 species
CCCUACGGGGUGCAGCAUGCGCGAAAACUUUACAAUGCCGGCAACGGCGAUAAGGGGACCUCGAGUGCCAGGUUACAAAUCUGGCUGUCGCGAUGCCUAAAAAGCAUUGCAUAGCAAGGGCCGGGCAAGACCGGUGCCAGCCGCCGCGGUAACACCGGCGGCUCGAGUGGUAACCGUUAUUAUUGGGUCUAAAGGGUCUGUAGCCGGCCGGGUAAGUCUCUUGGGAAAUCCAGCAGCUCAACUGUUGGGCUUUCAGGAGAUACUGCCUGGCUCGAGGCCGGGAGAGGUGAGAGGUACUUCAGGGGUAGGGGUGAAAUCUUGUAAUCCUUGAAGGACCACCAGUGGCGAAGGCGUCUCACCAGAACGGACCUGACGGCAAGGGACGAAAGCUAGGGGCACGAACCGGAUUAGAUACCCGGGUAGUCCUAGCCGUAAGCGAUACUCGCUAGGUGUCGGCCACGGUGCGACCGUGGUCGGUGCCGUAGGGAAGCCGUGAAGCGAGCCACCUGGGAAGUACGGCCGCAAGGCUGAAACUUAAAGGAAUUGGCGGGGGAGCAC